UACGUAGGGUGCAAGCGUUAAUCGGAAUUACUGGGCGUAAAGCGUGCGCAGGCGGUUGUGCAAGACGGAUGUGAAAUCCCCGGGCUUAACCUGGGAAUUGCAUUCGUGACUGCACGGCUAGAGUGUGUCAGAGGGGGGUAGAAUUCCACGUGUAGCAGUGAAAUGCGUAGAUAUGUGGACGGAAUACCGAUGGCGAAGGCAGCCCCCUGGGUCAGAUUGACGCUCACGCACGAAAGCGUGGGGAGCAAACAGG
rnacentral:rRNA from 1 species